rnacentral:lncRNA from 1 species
CUGUAACAUAUAUGUGGGACUCCACACUGGACAAACAAAAGCAGCCAUCACAAAGCAGAGACAAUGGCACGAAAUGCACAUGAUGGUAGAAGUUCUCUUCUCUACCACUUAGGCAGAAAUAAGAGGUCAGGCCAACUCCAUGGAAUUUUCAGGCUAAUAGAGGAUAAUCCUCCAUAUUGUAAAUCCCAGGAGGACAAGACUGUGAAUUCUUCUUCAUAUCAUCAAGGCCUACUUAUGCUAGAUGACCAUUUAAUAUUUGUUGCAAUGCAUACAAAUAAAAACUAUAAGUUUGAAUAGCUCAUAAAAACAACUCUCAGUUAUCUAACCUCUACAAGCAACAUUUUGGGUCAUUGUGAGACUUGAGGUAAUUGCCAUUUACCAGUUACAGAUAUAAGAUGUUCGUGGUCUGUUUAUUCCUCUCAGUAAAACAUCUGUCAUAUCAUAGCCUGGGUGCUUGCAUAAUUUGGAACUGUUGCCAAUCAACUUAGAUGCCUAGUCUUCAUGUUUCUCUGUGGCCAAAAGCCAACGCAAGUGUCACUUUCCCACAGAGUAUCUUGAACCAUCCAAACCACAAACAUCUCCAGCACAUGGUUUCCAUUAUAACAAUCCUGGGUAUCUGUCAAAAGUGAAGAGCAGGAGGUUGUAACUCUGAGGAGAGAAGACAGACUGGAGAGCCAAUCAAAUUUCAAACUAUACUUUGCUGUGGGCAUGGAUGGAGAAGCAGGUCACAUCUGAUGAAUGAAGAGGAGCUUCCAAGCAGCCAAAGUAAAGUAUUUUGCUACACAAACUGCAGGAUCAAUGUUCGUGUUUUGAAGCUCAAGAGAUUGACAGCUGUAGAAAUUAAGUUCCAGAAUAUAUCCACCAGCCAGGUAUACUGGAAGCAAAUGUUCUUUUUCUGAGAUUCGCCAUGCCAGUGGCCUUAACCCUGACUUGGAAGGACAAUGCAAUCAACUACAGAAAGAAAAGCCUGCAGUGGUUCUGGAGCAGUCUUAGGCUUUUUUGAAUAUCACUAUCAUUAAACAAAUUGUUGUUUAUCAGGAGCUGUUUCUCCAGCAAAUCUCUAUCACAGGCUCAUAAUACAUUGGAGCUAGAAAUCUGAAAGUGCUCAAUCUUUAAUUAUUAAAAUAAAAGCCAGGAUCCUAACUUACCCAUCCACUUUUUUUUUAGACAGGAUGAAGAAAUGAAUAUAACUAAAAGAAGAGGGAAACCUCAGAGCUAAAUUUCAGCAAAGUUGACAUGAGAUACAGAUUGGCAACCUGCAUAACAGUGUAUUUUAUUAGCUAUCCAAGUUUUGAUGGAAAUUAAAA